GUCAAGAGCUGGGUUUCCCUAUUCAUUUCAUUUAAACAAGCUCCCAAGAAGGCAACAGGGACCCACUGUACCCCAAGAGGCACUCCAAGUUUCCUUCAGAGAGGAAAAAGAGAGACGGGGCUCCUAGAACCCACUCUCCCCAAAGGCGAGUUUCCCAGGCGCCGCUCGUGCUGUUGCUGGAAAGCGAGCUCGCUGUAGACCGGCCGCGACACCAUGUAGCUGCAGCUGUACUCGGGGAGCUGCGGCGGCUCCGACCUGCCGCCUGGCGCUGCCAUGACCUGCGAGCCAGAGGACAGCGAGGAGGGAGGACACGCGAGACAGGGUUUUGCCAUCUUGCUCAGGCUGGUCUCAAACUCCUGUGCUCAAGAGAUCCACCUGCUUCAUCCUCCCAGGGUGCUGGGAUUACAUGUGUGAGCCACCACACCCAGAGGAAAUGACAUUUGAAGAGAGACUAAAGGAUGAGAAAAAGACAGCCUUCCUGGAAGAGGAAACAGCAAAUGCAAAAACUCUGAGUUAGGAAAGAACUUGAUGCACUUGAGAAACAAAAAGAAGGCCGGCAAGACUGAAAUCCACAUAAGUCAGACCCGGGCACAGCAAACUGGACGUCCUCAGUAUAUAUGUGGCAACUGAAACCAGGCAUUUAGGUUGCACAGGCUGGAGUACAGUGGUGCAAUCUCGGCUCACUGCAAUGUCCGCCUCCUGGGUUCAAGUGAUUCUCCUGCCUCAGUGGUACAAUCUUGGCUCACUGCAACGUCCGCCUCCAGGUUCAAGUGAUUCUUCUGCCUCAGCCUCCCGAGUAGCUGGGAUUACAGGCAUGAGCCACUUUGUUCCAAGAUCUCAUCCAGACAUGAUCUCAUUCUGUUGCCCAGGGUGAGUGCAGUGGCACCUUCAUGGCUCAUUGCAGUCUCGAUCUCCCAGGCUCAAGCGAUCCUCCCACCUCAGCCUCCCAAAGUGCUGGGAUUGCAGGCGUGAGCCACCUUGCCCAGCCCAUUCUGCAAUCUUCGGAAGGAAGUCACUAUAUGCAGCCUAUGCUUGAGGAGUGGGGAGUUGAAUUCCACAUCCUUGAGGGCAGAAUACCUAAAUAAAUUAUUUGGAAUUCUUCUGCAAGAG
rnacentral:lncRNA from 1 species